rnacentral:rRNA from 1 species
GCAUCCUGGUGGCGAGUGGCGAACGGGUGAGUAAUACAUCGGAACGUGCCCAGUAGUGGGGGAUAACCCGGCGAAAGCCGGACUAAUACCGCAUACGACCUGAGGGUGAAAGCGGGGGACUCGCAAGGGCCUCGCGUUAUUGGAGCGACCGAUGUCAGAUUAGCUAGUUGGUGGGGUAAAGGCCUACCAAGGCGACGAUCUGUAGCUGGUCUGAGAGGACGACCAGCCACACUGGGACUGAGACACGGCCCAGACUCCUACGGGAGGCAGCAGUGGGGAAUUUUGGACAAUGGGCGCAAGCCUGAUCCAGCCAUGCCGCGUGCGGGAAGAAGGCCUUCGGGUUGUAAACCGCUUUUGUCGGGGAAGAAACGCUUCUGGUUAAUACCUGGGAGUAAUGACGGUACCCGAAGAAUAAGCACCGGCUAACUACGUGCCAGCAGCCGCGGUAAUACGUAGGGUGCAAGCGUUAAUCGGAAUUACUGGGCGUAAAGCGUGCGCAGGCGGCUUUGCAAGACAGAUGUGAAAUCCCCGGGCUUAACCUGGGAACUGCAUUUGUGACUGCAUAGCUGGAGUGCGGCA